rnacentral:tRNA from 1 species
GGAGGGAUGGCAGAGCGGUAAUGCAGCAGAUUGCUAAUCUGUGUACGUGAAAGCGUACCGAGGGUUCGAGUCCCUCUCCCUCCGCCA